UUCCGGUUGAUCCUGCCGGCGGCCACCGCUAUUGGAAUCCGAUUAAGACAUGCGAGUCGAGAGUCUUCGGGACUCGGCAGACUGCUCAGUAACACGUGGAUAACAUGCCCUUGGGUGGGAGAUAACCUCGGGAAACUGAGAAUAAUACCCCAUAGAUCUAGGAUGCUGGAACGCUUCUAGGUCGAAAGCUUCGGCGCCCAAGGAUUGGUCUGCGGCCUAUCAGGUAGUAGUGGGUGUAACGGACCCACUAGCCCAUGACGGGUAUGGGCCUUGGGAGAGGGAGCCCAGAGAUGGACUCUGAGACACGAGUCCAGGCCCUACGGGGCGCAGCAGUCGCGAAAACUUCACAAUGGGGGAAACCCUGAUGAGGGGAUUCCAAGUGCCAACACAAAGUGUUGGCUGUUCUUCUGUCUAAACCGCAGGAGGAGUAAGGGCCGGGUAAGACGGGUGCCAGCCGCCGCGGUAAUACCCGCGGCCCGAGUGGUGGUCGAUUUUAUUGAGCCUAAAACGUUCGUAGCCUGCCUGGUAWAUCCUUGGGUAAAUCGGCCAGCUUAACUGUCCGAAUUCCGAGGAGACUGCCAGGCUUGGGACCGGGAGAGGUCAGAGGUACUUCUGGGGUAGGGGUAAAAUCCUGUAAUCCUGGAAGGACCACCGGUGGCGAAGGCGUCUGACUAGAACGGAUCCGACGGUGAGGGACGAAGCCCUGGGGCGCAAACGGGAUUAGAUACCCCGGUAGUCCAGGGUGUAAACGCUGCGGGCUUGGUGUUGGGGGUCCUUCGAGGGCGCCCAGUGCCGGAGAGAAGUUGUUAAGCCUGCUGCUUGGGGAGUACGUCCGCAAGGAUGAAACUUAAAGGAAUUGGCGGGGGAGCACCGCAACGGGAGGAGCGUGCGGUUCAAUUGGAUUCAACGCCGGGA
rnacentral:rRNA from 1 species